AUUGAACGCUGGCGGCAGGCCUAACACAUGCAAGUCGAGCGGAGCGGCGGACGGGUGAGUAAUGCCUAGGAAUCUGCCUGGUCGUGGUGGAUAACGUCCGGAAACGGGCGCUAAUACCGCUUACUAUCAGCUGCGCCUAGGUCGGAUUAGCUAGUUGGUGGGGUAAAGGCUUACCAAGGCGACGAUCCGUAACUGGUCUGAGAGGAUGAUAAGUCACACUGGAACUGAGAAACGGUCCAGACGCCUACGGGAGGAAGCAGUGGGGAAGAUUGGACAAUGGGCGAAAGCGUGAUCCAGCCAUGCCGCGUGUGUGAAGAAGGUCUUCGGAUUGUAAAGCACUUUAAGUUGGGAGGCGUUACCAACAGAAUAAGCACCGGCUAACUACGUGCCAGCCACCGCGGUAAUUC
rnacentral:rRNA from 1 species